AUUGAACGCUGGCGGAAUGCUUUACACAUGCAAGUCGAACGGUAGAGGGGGCAACCCCUUGAGAGUGGCGAACGGGUGAGUAAUAUAUCGGAACGUGCCCAGUCGUGGGGGAUAACGUAGUGAAAAUUACGCUAAUACCGCAUACGAUCUAAGGAUGAAAGCGGGGGAUCGCAAGACCUCGCGCGAUUGGAGCGGCCGAUAUCAGAUUAGGUAGUUGGUAGGGUAAAGGCCUACCAAGCCAACGAUCUGUAGCUGGUCUGAGAGGACGACCAGCCACACUGGAACUGAGACACGGUCCAGACUCCUACGGGAGGCAGCAGUGGGAAUUUUGGACAAUGGGCGAAAGCCUGAUCCAGCCAUUCCGCGUGCAGGAUGAAGGCCCUCGGGUUGUAAACUGCUUUUGUACGGAACGAAAAGGUUUCUAUUAAUACUAGGAGCUCAUGACGGUACCGUAAGAAUAAGCACCGGCUAACUACGUG
rnacentral:rRNA from 1 species